rnacentral:misc_RNA from 1 species
ACACAAACAAAGUACUACGAUGAUGUAGCGAUGUUACUACAAAGUGGUUAAAAUUGCACAACCAUUAUCGCGUCGACGAUUAAAAAUAUUUCAAAGUAUUAGCGCGGUAUAGCUUGUUACGCCGCUGACGAGGGGAAGCCUGAUGAAUCGAUCGCCAAGUUGAAUCAUUUUUGCAUAACACGCUGCAGGCGAAAAAAACAAAUAAAAGCAUGAAGGAAACAAUGAUAAAUCAAAGAUAAACCGGGUUAUAUAAAUCAACUAUACGCGGACGAUUAAAACUUCUGAGGGCACAGGCAGUAAUGUGUCGCACAAUUAUAAGACUGACUUUAAAUUUCUUCAAGUUUCGGCUAUCAAUGGAAGAUACUUUAUGUACGAGCGUUGAUGAAUUUUGCUAUUCAUACAGCAAAUUGAACGAAAAGAUGAAAACGAAGAGGGAAUACAUGGCGAAGAUAAAGUUUCCUUUCACGUUAAUGAAUUUGCGAGGCUGUAUUUAACGAACGAGAAAAAUGUUUGGAUGAAUGGAUAAUGAAUGAGCUUCGCUUGUGUUGCAAGCACGAUUAAAGGACAGAUUUUUAAUGAAUUACAUUUUCUUUCCGUAAAUAAAUGAAAUUUUAAUGCUAAAGAGCUAAGAUACGAAAUGUAGAAUAAAAUCCGAACGAUUAACUGGGUUUAAUCGCGUAAAUGUAAACGUCGUUUGAGGAAUUCAAAUAAUUGAGAUCUAAAAUACAUGCAAUGUUUUUUCACACAUUUUUUUUUCCUCUCUCCUGUGUCAAAAAUAGCAUAUCGAAAUACUCUAAAUAAGGAAAAAAGGAGAGAAAUCUGAACGAGCGAUGUGCCUGGGUUGCAUAUCGAUUAACUAUCACAAGUAGAAAUAUUGUCUGUGCAUUAAAAUAUCAAUUAUCUUGUUUAACCAUUACUCGACGCUGAUUAAUACAUUAUCUCCGAUAAAUACCUGAUUCUUUUGUAAAACAUAACACGAUUUGUUUUCAAAGAAAAG